GGCCAUUGCUGUGCGCGCGCGCGCGGGCAUGUGCAUGGUUCAGGGAAGAGGCUGCAUUUCACAGAGACUCUGUCCCAGGAGGGGACCUGAUUUUGGGAGGCGCUGUUCCCCCAGCACAGGGAUACAGCAGGCCCUUGGCCUCAUCGGACAUCUGGUGCCCGCGCGCCCUCUCACUCACGUUGUCCAGGCCUCUGCCCUUCUCAACACCCGGACGUGGGCGUUCAGGUGUCCUUCCUGCCCUGGCGUAUGCCCCACUUAGCUGAGUGGGGGGCUUAGACCUCCGCCCCAUCUGCAGUCCUCCUGGGGCCUGCCAAUCAGACCCCCUGCAGCUGCAUGGUCUUGGGGCAUUGCUGUAAGGCCCUGGGGCCUUUCUGAAUCCAUCUGCAAGCUGGAGCUGAGUCCAGGAGCUGAGGCCGGGAGCAGGAGAAACUUAGCAGCUUGAAACAGCACCCGCUCGGCACACAUUCCUUUUGGGAGUGUGAAAUGGUGCAGCUGCUGUGGGAAAUGGUCUGGUGAUUCCUCGCAAAGCUAAACAAUUGCCAUAGCACCCUGCAGUUCCACACCUGGGGAUGCACAGCCAGAAAUGAAGACGGGUGUCUGAGCAAAAACUCGGACAUGAGUGUUCACAGCAGCGUUAUUCACAGUAGCUAGAAGGUGGAAACAACCCAAGUGUCCGUGGACCGAGGAACAGAUCAACAGGCCACGGCGCACGCACGACGGAGUAUUGUGCAGCCAGAAAAAGGGUGAAGCUCCCUUACACAUUAUGGCGUGGGUGAGCCUCAGAAACAUGGUGCUAAGUGACUGCGUUUAUAUAAAAAGCUUGCACUGAUGUAAAGUGUCUAGAGUAGAGAAACCCAGGAGAUGAAGUGGAUUCGUGGCUUCCAGGGCCUGAGGGCAGAGGGAAGGGACCGGCUGCUGAUGGGUCUCCGUUUGGGAAGAUGAACGAGUUCUGGAGCUUGCUUGAGGCAGUGUCUGCACAACAGUGUGAGUGCACGGAAUGUGGCUGAAUUGGACUCUUUAAAAUAGUUCAGGUGGGCAAUGUUAUGUUAUGUGUGUUUUACUACCAUACAAAUAAGUAAAUAAAUGGACAAGCCUGCACCAUCUUGUAGCUCACACCUGCAGGUCAGGAGCCGGCCUGGGUCCCCUGCUGGGGCCUCACCUGGGGCUCAGGCCUCCUCCCAGGCUGGUUCAGAAUCCAGGUCCUUGUGGGUGUGGGACUGAGGUCCCCGUUUUCUCGCAGCUGUUGUCAGGGACUGCCCUCAGCUCCUAGGGCUUUCUCUCGGGUCCCUGCCUGGUGGCCUCUGGUGGCCCCUCCAUCUUCAAGCAGCAGGGGCCGGUGGAGUCCCCCCAUGAGUGGCUCUUUCUGGCCAUCCCUUCUGCACCCGCCAGAGGAAACUCCGCUUCUAAAGUGUUGGUGUGAUGAGGUCAGGCCCGGAGGCACCUCCCUGUUUUAAGGUCAGCGGGUUGGUGAACUUCACCAUGCCUUCAGAAUCCCUCUGCCACACAACACAGCCGUCUUGGGAGUAACACUGGAGGCAGAGACCACGGGCGACCUCCAAGAUCUGCUUACAACAGUCGUUUCAACAGAGUUGAGUCAGCUUGGGGCUUCUCCGAGUGACUGUGCACAGGGGUCCUGGGGCUUCUCCGAGUGACUGCGCGCAAGCGUCCUGGGACUUCUCCAAGUGACUGCGCACAGGCAUCCUGGGGCUUCUCCGAGUGACUGCGAACAGGCGUCCUGGGGCUUCUCUGAGCGACUGCGCACAGGCGUCCCUGGGGUCCCUGGGGUUAGGAUGC
rnacentral:lncRNA from 10 species